UACGAAGGGGGCUAGCGUUGUUCGGAAUUACUGGGCGUAAAGCGUAUGCAGGCGGAUCGUUAAGUCGGGGGUGAAAUCCCGAGGCUCAACCUCGGAACUGCCUUCGAUACUGGCGAUCUUGAGUCCGGGAGAGGUGAGUGGAACUCCGAGUGUAGAGGUGAAAUUCGUAGAUAUUCGGAAGAACACCAGUGGCGAAGGCGGCUCACUGGCCCGGUACUGACGCUGAGAUACGAAAAGCGUGGGGGAGCAAAACAGG
rnacentral:rRNA from 1 species